rnacentral:rRNA from 1 species
UACGAAGGGGGCUAGCGUUGCUCGGAAUCACUGGGCGUAAAGCGCACGUAGGCGGAUUGCUAAGUCAGGGGUGAAACCCUGGAGCUCAACUCCAGAACUGCCUUUGAUACUGGAAAGCUUGAGUUCGGGAGAGGUGAGUGGAACUGCGAGUGUAGAGGUGAAAUUCGUAGAUAUUCGCAAGAACACCAGUGGCGAAGGCGGCUCACUGGCCCGAUACUGACGCUGAGGUGCGAAAGCGUGGGGAGCAAACAGG